AUUGAACGCUGGCGGCAGGCCUAACACAUGCAAGUCGAACGAGUGGCGGACGGGUGAGUAAUGUCAGGGAAACUGCCUGAUGGAGGGGGAUAACUACUGGAAACGGUAGCUAAUACCGCAUACCAUCGGAUGUGCCCAGAUGGGAUUAGCUAGUAGGUGGGGUAAAGGCUCACCUAGGCGACGAUCCCUAGCUGGUCUGAGAGGAUGACCAGGCAAACGGGAACUGAGACAAGGUCCAGACUCCUACGGGAGGCACCAGUGGGGAAUAUGGCACUAUGGGCGCAAGUCUGAUGCAGCCAUGCCGCGUGUAUGAAGAAGGCAUUAGGGUUUUAAAGUAUUUUCAGCUGGGAGGCGUGACCCGCUGAAGAAGCACCUGCUAACUCCGUGCCAGCAGCCGCGGUAAUAC
rnacentral:rRNA from 1 species